AACUUUCAACAACGGAUCUCUUGGCUCUCGCAUCGAUGAAGAACGCAGCGAAAUGCGAUAAGUAAUGUGAAUUGCAGAAUUCAGUGAAUCAUCGAAUCUUUGAACGCACCUUGCGCCCCUUGGUAUUCCGAGGGGCACGCCUGUUUGAGUGUCG
rnacentral:rRNA from 1 species